GGCCUCGUCGCUCAGCUGGUAGAGCGUGUGCUGUACAAAAGCGUAGGCGGCUCCAUGCAUGGGUUCAAGUCCCACCGAGGCCA
rnacentral:tRNA from 1 species